CCCAUUGCUGCUCCUCACCACUCAAUACCUAUGUUGCUAGAGGCAGGACAUUGGAACUUCUACCAAAGCUUCUCUAUCAUCAUAGUUACAAAAAGAUGGAUCCACCCACAGGCAGUUGUCACUCCAUUUGAAUCACUUCUGCUGCUGGGGCACAUGGGCAUUGGUUUGCCAGGAGCUGGGUCAUAUGCUGAACUCUGGGCACAAGAGAGAGUCCAGGCACUGGAGUGAAUGUUGUGUGGGUCAAUCUGUGGCAUCCGUCAUAAUGGUCGUAUCUACUUCAAGUAAUUUGUGUGACAGAAUGGUGAUAAUCAUGAGGUCAUAAUGAGAGUAAUAGCUCUUUUGGCAUGCUUUCUGUGUCCAGCACUGUGCUAAAUAUUUUAUGUCCUUUUAUGUACAUAUUCCUCAAACCAACACUAGGAAGUAGGUACUAUUUGUAUCCUUGCAUUAUAAGUGAAGGCACUGAAGUACAGAGAGUUAAUUAACUUGCCCCAAGUCUAACGUCCAUCUGUGAAGGCCAGCUUGACAAACGAAUCUGCAUUUCCCAAGUUUCUAGAAGGCUUUGCAAACACUGGGUCUCUGAUACUGAUGCAACCAGAAAAAGAAAUUGAAAUUCUGAACGUAAAAUGUAAAGUAAGGGGUACAUCCGACCUGCCCUGGGUUAUAUUACCUUUGUGUCAGAUCUAAGGUGAUCAGCCAGUGAUAGGAAAUGCACCAGAUGGAAAAAGUCAUCUGCAAGAAUUUACCUCUGAAGAGGAUGGAAAAAGUAUUAAAUUUCUAUAUCAGAUACAGCCUAUGCAGACAAGACAGGACAUGUAGUUACACAAGGAUCCUGCUGCGUUUUGAGCCUCGAGGCUGGGGAGCAAGUGCAAUUAACAUUCCAAGGUGUGAAUUAUUUCCCGCCAUCAGAGCCCCACAGUAUCUGACUGUGAUUACAAAGGCUGAACUGCAGAUUUCUUAAUGUACAGUGUACACAUUAAAGAUAUACAGAAAACUUCAAAGUUAUAAAUCCAAACAUUGCAUAGUGUGCAGAACCACUGAAUUACAGAAUGGGGGGUAGUUUCAAAAGAGCAUGGAGUUCAGUGUGUGCCACUUGUUUCUAAGUUAAAACACAGAAAAUAAAAAACUAA